CAAGACCGACGGCCGACGAUGGAAGAGAAACCCCGGCGGCACGGUCACGGCCAACUCCGGUGAGUUUCUCCUCUCCUUAUUUCUUUUGUUUUUAUUUUCGUAAGUAGAAAGAAAUAAAAAGAAAUCAAACUAGAUGUAAAAACACACAAAAAUAAAGAAACGAAAAUUACUUCUCCGAUUCAAAGUUUAUGUUUUUAUUGCUCUUGUGUCCGUAAAAAGAGAGGAAGAGCCCCCUUUGCCGGCCAUCGGCCACCGCGCCAGUCGCCGGACGCCGGCGACGGCGCCGCCGUUCGCGAUGGCCGGAAAACAAAAAAAGCUCCCUUUUUCUCCUUUUUGCGAAUAGAGUCCAGAUCUGGGGUUAGAAAAGCCGAAAUCCCGGCGAAAAGGGCCGAAAUCGAAAGAGACCUUUCGGUUCUUCCUCUUUCCACCGCCGCCGGAAACAGGUAAACUCCUUUUUACUUUUAUUUUUUUAUCUUAUAUAUAUGUGUGUUGAUUGAAUGAUAAUAAAAAAGAGAAAGAAAUACUAUAGAAAAACCGAAAUAGAACGAAAAUAAAGAAAACGCAAUCGAAAAAAAACAAGGUGAAUCACCUUCUAAAGCCCCCUUUUUUAUUUCUUUCAAUUUUUUCAAAAGCCGAAUCUUCUCUUUUUUUUUGUUACAAAAGUCCCCCCUCUUUUUUUUUGUUUCUCCCCCCUGGUUCGAUUUUGCUUGUGGCUUUUAUAGCCAAAAAUACAAUAUUCUGUUAAUGUUUAUUGCUCCAUUUUUUGUCCUUUUCCUUUGCUUGUUUGCAGGUGCUGCAAAAGGCAUGGUGGUGGUAGACGGUAUGGGGGUGUGUGAUGGUGCUGGUGGCAGACAGCAUGGGAGAGUGGGAGUGGUGCUGGUGGCAGACAGCAUGGGAGAGUGGGAAGAGGCAAGUGGGAGUUUAGGGUUUUGGGAUUGGGCUUGGAUGUUGGGCUAGGUUAAUUUUAGGUUUUGGGUUUGAGGAUGAGUUAAAUGGGCUUGGGAUUUUAUUUUGGAUUUUAUUAUUUGGGUUAUUUUGUUGGUAUGGGCCCGGGCAAAAAUGGACUUUUACUUAUUACAGAUUAAGAUUAGACCACUCCCAUGGGAUUUUAUCCUUAAACUUUUGUCGGUAGAAACGCCAAGUAAUUCUAAAGAAGGCUUAGCUUAGGUGUUCACAUUAAAUGAUUGAUGACUCGUAUGGUUUUGAUUGUAAAUCAAAGUUGUGCGUCUGGCUUUUCGCAAACAAA
rnacentral:lncRNA from 1 species